rnacentral:rRNA from 1 species
GACGAAGGGGGCUAGCGUUGUUCGGAAUUACUGGGCGUAAAGCGCGUGUAGGCGGUUGUCCAAGUUGGAUGUGAAAGCCUUGAGCUCAACUCAAGAAAUGCAUUCAGGACUGGAUGACUAGAGGACCGGAGAGGAUAGUGGAAUUCCCAGUGUAGUGGUGAAAUACGUAGAGAUUGGGAAGAACACCAGUGGCGAAGGCGGCUAUCUGGACGGUUUCUGACGCUAAGGCGCGAAAGCGUGGGGAGCGAACAGG